CAUAAUAUAUUAAUGACUAGACUCUUAAAUUUUUACUAAUAUUAAUUUUAAAUUAACUUCCAACGGAUAUCAUGGAGGAUCACAAAUUAAUAUACUGUAUCACGAUCAGAAUAGCAUUUAGCUGUGAAAACCACAAAUAAUUAACAUACAGUAAUAAUAAAAUAACAGUAUUAUUUUCAUUGUUUCACCAGUUGCACAAAUUAAAAAAGUAUAUUAUUUUAAUCAUUCCGCGCG
rnacentral:lncRNA from 1 species